rnacentral:rRNA from 1 species
UAAAGCAAGAAAGGGCGUAUGGGGAAUGCCUAGGCACACUCCGGCGAAGAAGGACGCAGCAAACAGCGAAAUGCGACGGUGAGCGGUAAGCACGUGAAGAGCCGUCGAUAUCCGAAUGGGGGAACCCACACGGAGUCAUAUCCGUGUAUCACAUGUCGAAUACAUAGACAUGAUGAGGCGAGACGCAGGGAACUGAAACAUCUAAGUACCUGCAGGAAGAGAAAAUAAGAAUGAUUUUCUGAGUAGCGGCGAGCGAAAGGGAAAGAGCCCAAACCGAUCUGAGGAUCGGGGUAGUAGGAUCAUCGAUAAAUCAAACAGAGGAUCAUAGAGGAAUCACAUGGGAAGGUGAGCGAGAGAGGGUGAGAGCCCCGUACUCGAAAUGAGAGACUGGAGAGAGAUGACACCUGAGUAGGGCGGGACACGAGAAAUCCUGUCUGAAUCAGCCGGGACCAUCCGGCAAGGCUAAAUACGAGAGAGUGACCGAUAGUGAACCAGUACCGUGAGGGAAAGGUGAAAAGAACCCCGGGAGGGGAGUGAAAGAGAACCUGAAACCAUAUGCCUACAAGAAGUCAGAGCCCGUUAAAGGGUGAUGGCGUGCCUUUUGUAGAAUGAACCGGCGAGUUACUGUAUGGAGCGAGGUUAAGCAGGAUAUGCGGAGCCGAAGCGAAAGCGAGUCUUAAGAGGGCGCGAGUUGCAUGCAGUAGACCCGAAACCGGGUGAUCUAGCCAUGACCAGGUUGAAGUUGGGGUAAAACCCGAUGGAGGACCGAACCGACCCCCGUUGAAACGUUGGCGGAUGAGUUGUGGCUAGGGGUGAAAUUCCAAUCGAACCCGGAGAUAGCUGGUUCUCCCCGAAAUAGCUUUAGGGCUAGCGUCGAGAGAAGAGUUGCGUGAAGGUAGAGCACUGAAUAUGUGAUGGCCCCAUCUCGGGGUACUGAGCAUAAUCAAACUGCGAAUGUCACGCCAACAUGCUCGGCAGUCAGACAGCGGGUGAUAAGGUCCGUUGUCAAGAGGGAAACAGCCCAGACCAUCAGCUAAGGUCCCAAAAUGUAUGCUAAGUGGAAAAGGAUGUGGAGAUGUACAGACAACUAGGAGGUUGGCUCAGAAGCAGCCAUCCUUUAAAGAGUGCGUAACAGCUCACUAGUCGAAUGACUCUGCGCCGAUAAUUUACCGGGGCUAAGCAUACUACCGAAGCUAUGGAUCCCAAGGGAUGGUAGGGGAGCGUUCCAUGAACGGAGAAGUACGACCGAAAGGACGUGUGGAGAUCAUGGAAGAGAGAAUGCCGGUGUGAGUAGCGGAACGUGGGUGAGAAUCCCACGCACCGAAAACCCAAGGUUUCCAGAGGAAGGUUCGUCCGCUCUGGGUAAGUCGGGACCUAAGGCGAGGCCGAAAGGCGUAGUCGAUGGACAACAGGUAGAGAUUCCUGUACCCGUAUAUAUGUGAAGGAAUGACGGAGAGAGGAAGCUGCAGCCAGCGGCUGGAAGAGCUGGUGCAAGCGAGAUAUCGGGAUGGCAGGCAAAUCCACCAUCCGAAACGAGAAGGCGUGAAGCGUACGGAAAGCUACGGCGAGUACGGAAGGCAGUGGAGGAACUUCCAAGAAAAGUUUCUAACGUUAAGUAUAUAUGGCCCGUACCGAAAAUGGACACACAUGGGUGAGGAGAGAAUCCUAAGGUGAGCGAGAGAACUAUAGCUAAGGAACUCUGCAAAAUGACUCCGUAACUUAGGGAGAAGGAGUGCUCAUAGAGAUAUGAGCCGCAGUGAAACGGCCCAAGCGACUGUUUACCAAAAACACAGCUCUCUGCUAAGCCGCAAGGCGAAGUAUAGGGGGUGACGCCUGCCCGGUGCUGGAAGGUUAAGGGGAGGGGUUAACGCAAGUGAAGCCCUGAACUGAAGCCCCAGUAAACGGCGGCCGUAACUAUAACGGUCCUAAGGUAGCGAAAUUCCUUGUCAGGUAAGUUCUGACCCGCACGAAAGGCGUAACGAUUUGGGCGCUGUCUCAGCUGUAGACUCGGUGAAGUCUUAGUACCUGUGAAGAUGCAGGUUACCCGCGACUAGACGGAAAGACCCCAUGGAGCUUCACUGCAGGUUGAUAUUGGGAUUUGAUGCAGCAUGUACAGGAUAGGUAGGAGGCAAAGAGAUGGAUACGCCAGUAUUCAAGGAGCCGCUGUUGGGAUACUACCCCUGUUGUAUUGGAUUUCUAACCGGACGACGUAGAGCCGUUGACGGGACAGUGUCAGUCGGGCAGUUUGACUGGGGCGGUCGCCUCCCAAAGAGUAACGGAGGCGCCCAAAGAUACCCUCAGCUUGGAUGGAAACCAAGCGCAGAGUGCAAAGGCAAAAGGGUGUUUGACUGCGAGACCUACAAGUCGAGCAGGGACGAAAGUCGGGCUUAGUGAUCCGG